rnacentral:rRNA from 1 species
UACGUAGGCAGCAAGCGUUGUUCGGAGUUACUGGGCGUAAAGGGUGUGUAGGCGGUUGUUUAAGUUUGGUGUGAAAUCUUCCGGCUCAACUGGGAGGGUGCGCCGAAUACUGAAUGACUUCGAGUGCGGGAGAGGAGAGUGGAAUUCCUGGUGUAGCGGUGAAAUGCGUAGAUAUCAGGAGGAACACCGGUGGUGUAGACGGCUCUCUGGACCGUAACUGACGCUGAGACGCGAAAGCGUGGGGAGCGAACAGG